rnacentral:sRNA from 1 species
GCCGGGCGCGGUGACUCACACCUGUAAUCCCAGUACUUUAGGAGGCUGAGGUGGGUGGAUCACCUGUGGUCAGGAGUUCAAGACCAGCCUGACCAAUAUGGUGAAACCCCAUCUCUA